UUUUAAUUAUUCAUCAUAGUAGAAUCUAUUUUGAUAUGUUUAUAUAAACAUGGAAUAUAUUUUAUACUAAUUAGGAUCCCAGUCUUCUGGAUGUACACGAUGUUGAGAUUCAUUGUGGUGUAUUCAUAUAUGUACAUAGGAAAGUCAAGGUCAGAUUCUUUCACAGACUAGAUUUUUUUUUUUUAAAAGAAAAGUCAUUCAGACAUAUUCUUCACUCCUUUACACUUGCCAGAGACGGGAGGGAAUUUCUGCUGUUGAGUAUUAUCUAAUGCUUUAAAACCAAAUACUCCAUAAGUUGUGGCUUAGGAGCAAGUCAGCUUCCCCAUCCGCCAAUACUGUGGAGUGAACCCAGGACCAUACACAUACUAGACAAGUGCUCUAUCCACUGAGCUACAUCCCCAUCUCUUAUUUUGUUUGUGAAUGAGCAUUUUUAGUAGGAUUUGAUGAAUAUAGAUAUAGUGAUUUUCCCGGAUAUGGAGAAUUUACAUGGAAGAGGGGUUAUUCACAUGGCUUUACAAGCAUGCUUUCAUCCGGGAGUGUACUCAGGAUCUAAGUUCUCUCCAAUUUUAGGCCUUUCUACGGGGCUGCUUGUACUUGUGUACAACAUGGUGACUGGGCUUCAAGAGCAGAUAUUAAGAAAAAUGAAAGCUGCCUGCUUUUUAAAUCCUGGGCCCAGUAUCAUUUCUCCCAUAGUCUGAUGGUCAAGCAGUCUUAGCUUGUCCAGAUUUAAGAGGAGAGGUCGGAGACCCCAUUGCUGAUGGGAAGAAUAUAAAAGAAUUUGUGAACAUCUUAAUCUACCACACACUCUAAUCCCAGUAGGAGAAAAAUGAUGAGUGCAUUUUUCUACUUAACUGUUCCUGUCUAAGAAAAGUUGUGACUCAGCUGCUUGUUGAAUAUUAUAGAAGGAACUAGGUUAUUCUUGACUUUGAGUCCUGUUCUCUGGGAAACAGUCUGUGCAAAAGAGACAUACAUUGUAGUCUACUUCUUCCUUGUGGCAGUGAGGUUAGGAAGAUGGGCAUGACCCCUGUGGGCCUUUGGCUUUAUUUUUUUUAAAAAAAAACUGUGGUAAAAUACCUAUGAUAUAAAAUUUACCGAUAUAGUUAUUUUAAAAGGUACUAUUUAAAGUGGUAUUAAGUAUAUUUAUAGUAUUCUAUCAUCACUAUCAUCUAGAACUUUUUCAUCACCCAAAAUGAAACCCUGUAACCAUUAAACAGUCACACUCUUCUAUUCUCCCCUAACUCCAGUCCCUGGCAACUGCUAGUUUGCUUUGUCUCUGCAUUUAUGUACUCUGCAAAGUUCAUAUAUAAUAUGUAUCUUCAUGUCUGGCUUCUUUCACUUAGUGUGUUCCCAAGAACCAUCCAUAUUGUACAGUGUAUUUCAUUCCGUGGCUGAAUUAUAUUUCUUCAUUUGUAUUUACCACAUUUUACUUAUUUGUCUGUUGAAGAGCACUUCGGUAAUUUGCCUGUUGUGAAUAAUGGUUCAGUGAACAUUGCUAUACAAGUUUGAAUUUGUUUUCAGUUCUUUAGGAUAUAUACCUAGGAGUGAAAUUGCUGAGUCAUAUGGUAAUUCCAUUUUUAGUUUUGACAGUUGCUAAAUUAUUUUCCACAGGGGCUGUCCCUUUAUUUAUUUAUUUAUUUUUCCUUCUUUCUUUUUUAAGGAGCUCUGAACAUUAAAACCAGGGGUGUUCUACCACUGGGCUAUAUCCCCAACCUUUUUUUUUUUUUUUUCCCUAAAUUUUGGAGAUAAGGUCUUGCUUAGUUGCACAGGCUGGCCUUGAAUUUAAAAUCUUACCUCAGUGUCCUGAGUGGCUGGGAUGACAGUUGUGCACCACUGUACCCAGUGGGUAUAUCAUUUUUAUUUUUGCCAUCAGUUUCUAUAUUUCCCAAGGUGUGUUUUGUUUUGCUUUUUAAAUAUUCAUUCUGUUAGGUAUGUCCUUGUGAUUUUGAUUUGCAUUUCGGUAAUGAGUAAUUUUUGUUUAAUUUGCAAUUGGUCUGUAAUUUACAAGGGGAAGACUAGAAUAUUUCACCCAUUCCCACCCCUGCUCUUGGGGGGGGGGAGAACAAGGACAAAUAAUGCAUCAAAGAAAACAGAAUUAUUGGAUGUUGAAAUGGUGCUGGUGACAUUCCAAGAUGAUCUUGGAAUGACCAAAUAGAGAUGUCUGGUUCUUGCCUCAUUCACAAAAAAGAAUCAAAACAAUGAAUGAAUAGUUGCAUUUCAAGGAGAGUGGCUGAGGAAGAACAUUGGAACUCAGCAAAGGAAGAGAUGGAAACCUUAUAGGGCAUGGAAAAUUGUAGGCUAUUGAGCUUGCAGCUGAUAUUCCUUGGGAUCUUGAGCUUAACCUCCUUGGAUCUUCAGUCUCAGGAUGUGCACUCAGGGCCUUGGUAUUAUUUGCUUGCAUCUUCUUCAGAGUCUUCAGUUGUCCUUCUUGGCAAAAUGCAUGUUCUCAGGUGCUCUUGUGGGGAGCCAUUUGUGAACUAAAAGCAAUGUUGCAGCCAUUAGGCAGGAAAGUUUGUUAUCAGAAACUCAGUAGCAAUCCCAUUGGUUUGAGAAUGCCUGGUUCAUGUGGCAUCGCUCCAUCUCAAGUUAAGCACAGCACUGCAGAUGGGUGGGACUCAAUAAGAGCCAAACAGCCUGCCUAUCCCCUCCUGUUUUUCUGAGAAGAAUCAAGCACCAAGACAACACUCCUCCGACACUUUAUACCUACCAAUCCCCAUUGAUCUGUACCACUAUAAAUAAAGCAAGCAUGGGCUGCAUCUUUGUACCCCUCUGGUUGUCUUAACCCUUCCCCCCCCCCAAAAAAAAAAAAAAAAAACAUAUUUCUGGUCUCAUGUAUUUUGUGGUACUGUUUUCAUAGCUUUUAUUUCGUACCCAGCCCAUCCCUAGAACAGAAUAGAAAUUCAAAAAUUAAUCCAUCUUUACAGCCAACUGGUUUUUCAAGAAAGAUGCCAAGAGUGUCCAUGGGAGAAAUGACAAUCUCUUCAAAAUAUGGUGGUGGGAAAAUGGAGGAGAUAUAUAAAUUUAUAUAUAUAUAAUUUCCCUCGCUUAUGUAGGACGUGAGAGACCCUUAAGAGAUUCAUAUCUUUGUGAUUGGGGCUUAUUCAUGCCAUUUUUAGGACUGAUUUUAUGUGGUAUUGUUCUUGGACUUGGCCACAUCUUAAUUGUAACCUAUGACUCCCUGAGUACCUGGAACCAGAAAAGGAAGCAACAGUAGCAUUUUAUAUACUAAUAACAAAUUGGUUGAAAGCGAAAUAAAAAAUGUAAUGCUGUUCAUGGUAACUUUAAAACUAACAAACACUAUGACAAAUUUGACCAAGAAAGUGAAAGAUCUCUACAAUGAAAAUUAUAGUGGAGAAAGAAAUGAAAGAGGACACACAAAACAAUGGAACAACAUCUCAUGCUUUAGAUUGGAGGAACUGACAUUAUUAAAACAUCCAUACUACCCAAAGCAAUGUGUAGAUUCAAUGUACUCACCAUCAGUAUACCAGUGUUUUUCACAGAACUAGGGAAAAAACCAAAAUGCAUGUGGAACCACGAAAGAUCCAGAAUAGCCAAAGCAGUCCUGAGCACCUCCAUCCCAGUCAAAAUAUACUACAAACUACUGACUUCAAAAUAUACUAUAAAACUACAGUGAUCAAAACUGUAUGUUGCUGGCAUAUAAAAACAUAUAUGAGACAUAGAACAGAAUAGAAAUUAAAAAAUUAAUCCGUCUUUUCAGCCAACUGGUUUUUCAAGAAAGUUGCCAAGAGUAUCCAUAGGAGAGAUGACAGUCUCUUCAAAACGUGGAGGUGGGAAAAUGGAGGGGAUAUAUAAAUUAUAUAUAUAUAUAUAUAUAUAUAUAUAUAUGGGUGAAUGAAACUUGCCACUUCUCAGCAUGUACAAAAGUCAAUUCAAAAUGGAUUAAGGAUCUAAAUGUAAGAUCCCAAACUAUUAAACUGCUAAAGGAAAACACUUCAAGAUGUUGGGCUAGGCAAAGAUUUUUUUUUUUUUUGAUAAGACUUUAAAAGCAUAAGCAAUAAAAGCAAACCUGGAUAAAUGAGAUUAUAUUAAACUAAGAAGCUUUUACACAGUAGAUAAAACAGUUAAGAAGUGACAUAGAGGGCUGGGAAUAUUAUAGCUCAGUUGGUAGAGUGCUUGCAUGCACAGGGCCCUGGCACCUCCCCAUCCCCAAAAAAAGUGACCUAGAGAAUGGGAGACAAAUAUUUGCAAGCUUUUCAUUUGACAAAAGGUUAAUACCUAGAAUAUGUAAGGAAUUAAAUAGCAAAAAAUAAUAAUAAUAAAUAAAAAUGGGCAAAGGAUUUGACUACAUUUUUUCAUUAAUUUUCAUUUAAAAAUUUUGUUUUUAAGUUAUACAUGGUGAAUGUAUUUUGACAUUAAGUGUACAUGGAGUACAACUUCCCAUUCUUCUGGUCAUAGGUGAUGUGGAGUUACAUUGGUCAUAUGUUUAUACAUGAACAUAGGAAAAUAAUGUCCAGUUCAUUCUACUGUAUUUUCCUGAAUAGAUAUUUCUUUAAAGAAAAUAUACAAAUUGGGGCUGGGACUAGCUCAGUGGCAGAGCGCUUGCCUAGCAUGUGUGAGGCACUGGGUUCGAUCCUCAAUACCACAUAAAAAUAAAUAAAAUAAAGGUACACUGUCUAUCUACAACAACAACAACAAAAACUUAAGAAGGAAAAUACUCAAAUGGCCUAAAGGUAUGUGAAAAAUGCUCAAUAUCACUAAUCAUCAAAACUACAAUGAGAUACCAUCUCACUUUAUCUAAAAAACAGUGCUGGUGAAGAUAUAGAGAAGAGAACCCAAUGCACUAUUGGUGGGAAUGUGAAUUAGUAUAGGCAUUAUUCAAGAUGGUAUAGGAGUUCUUCAAAAAACUAAAAAAUAGAACUACCCUAUGAACCAACAAUCCUACUACUGGUAUAUAUCCAAAGGAAAUUAAAUAUUAUAUCAAGGAGAUACCUACCCAACCAAAAUAUAAAAUCAACUGAGAUGUCCAUUGGUGGUCCAGUGGAUAAAGAAAAUGUGGCAUAUUUGCACGAAUACUAUUCAGACAUAAAAAAGGAUGAAAUCCUCUAAUUUGCAACAACAUGGAUAGAAUGAGAGGUCAUAGUGUUAAGUGGAACCAGGUAUGACAAAGAUUCCAUGUUCUCAUUUGUGGAAAUUAAAAACAUUGAUCAUAUAGAAAUCGAUCACGUAGAAGUAGUAGAGAAUAGACAGGGGUCACUAAAGGAAUGGAGAGGGGAAGGGCAACAAGUGACAGCAAAAAGGGUAGAUCAUGGGUGCUAAAAUUAGGGAAACUAGUUCUAAUGUUCUGUAGCACAGGAGAGUAAUUAUAGUCUGCAAUAGUUGUACAUUUCCAAAUAACUAGAGAAGAGUGAAUUUUCCCAGCACAAAAAUAGUAUUUAAGGAAAUGGAAAUGUUAAUUACUCUGAUUUCAACAUUAUACUCUGUAUCAAAUUGUAAUGCUGUAUACCACACAUAUAAGUACAAGUACUUAUGUCAGUUUAAAAAUCAAUAAAAAAGUGUUGCUGGUUGUAGGCAAUACUGUUGACCAACCUGAA
rnacentral:lncRNA from 1 species